AAACUAUACUAAUUAGUCUAAUUGGUAUAUAGUUUCUUUCUACUUUUUCUAAUGUUUUUAUAAAAUAUAACUUAUGGCAUAAAAGUGUAAGAAUAAUAGUUUUAAAAUCAUUAAAAAAAAUUUAGAAAAAACAUAUAAGUUCUUAUAGUAGAAAAGAUGCAGCUGUGUUGCCAUUUAAAGGAUUUCCUUUAACCGAGUCAGAAUUUCAAGCUAAAGUAAUGAAAUACUUGAUCAAACAAGAUCAAAGACUUGAAAAUAUUGAGAAAGUUCUACUAAAUUUAACAUCAUCUUGAGUUGGAGUAGAUAAAGAAGUAUCCCAAAUAAGCAAUUUGGAAGAUUUACAUAAUUUAGAGGAAAGAAUUGCAAAUAUAGAAGAAUUUAAUAAACUGGUCUUAUCUCUGUCUUCUGCUGGGGGUAAAGAUGUUAAAGAUGUUGUCAAGAACAUUAUGGAAAGGUUUGUAUUGUCUUACAACUUUUGAAUUUCUUGUGUUGUUUUUAGUCCUCAAUAGUCUUUAUAGUGAAAA